GCCAGACUCCUACGGGAGGCAGCAGUGGGGAAUAUUGCACAAUGGGGGAAACCCUGAUACAGCGACGCCGCGUGAGUGAAGAAGUAUUUCGGUAUGUAAAGCUCUAUCAGCAGGAACGAGACAAGACGGUACCUGACUAAGAAGCCCCGGCUAACUACGUGCCAGCAGCCGCGGUAAUACGUAGGGGGCAAGCGUUAUCCGGAAUCACUGGGUGUAAAGGGAGCGUAGACGGCUGUGCAAGCCUGAAGUGAAAGGCGGGGGCCCAACCCCCGGACUGCUUUGGGAACUGUACGGCUGGAGUGCAGGAGAGGUAAGUGGAAUUCCUAGUGUAGCGGUGAAAUGCGUAGAUAUUAGGAGGAACACCAGUGGCGAAGGCGGCUUACUGGACUGUAACUGACGUUGAGGCUCGAAAGCGUGGGGAGCAAACAGGAUUAGAUACCCCCGUA
rnacentral:rRNA from 1 species